UACGUAGGGUGCGAGCGUUAAUCGGAAUUACUGGGCGUAAAGUGUGCGCAGGUGGCCGCGCAAGUCGAGUGUGAAAUCCCCGAGCUUAACUUGGGAAUUGCGCUCGAAACUACGUGGCUCGAGUGUGGCAGAGGAAGGUGGAAUUCCACGUGUAGCGGUGAAAUGCGUAGAGAUGUGGAGGAACACCGAUGGCGAAGGCAGCCCUUCUGGGCCAACACUGACGCUCAUGCACGAAAGCGUGGGGAGCAAACAGG
rnacentral:rRNA from 1 species